ACUUUACAAUGCGGGCAACCGUGAUAAGGGAACCUCGAGUGCCUGUACAUGCAGGCUGUUCAGGUGUCUAAAACACACCUGAAGAAAGGGCCGGGUAAGACCGGUGCCAGCCGCCGCGGUAACACCGGCGGCCCGAGUGGUAAUCGUGAUUAUUGGGUCUAAAGGGUCCGUAGCCGGUUUGGUCAGUCCUCCGGGAAAUCUGAUAGCUCAACUAUUAGGCUUUCGGGGGAUACUGCCAGACUUGGAACCGGGAGAGGUAAGAGGUACUACGAGGGGUAGGAGUGAAAUC
rnacentral:rRNA from 1 species